rnacentral:rRNA from 1 species
UACGGAGGGGGCUAGGGUUGUUCGGAAUUACUGGGCGUAAAGCGCACGUAGGCGGCUUUGUAAGUUAGAGGUGAAAGCCCAGGGCUUAACCCUGGAAUUGCCUUUAAGACUGCAUCGCUAGAAUUGUGGAGAGGUAAGUGGAAUUCCGAGUGUAGAGGUGAAAUUCGUAGAUAUUCGGAAGAACACCAGUGGCGAAGGCGACUUACUGGACACAUAUUGACGCUGAGGUGCGAAAGCGUGGGGAGCAAACAGG